ACAGCUGUAUUUGCAGGAGGAGGAGGUGAAAACGCCUUCUUUUCUGCAACACUCUGCUGCAAGUCUACUGCUCCUACUUUAGUGCAACAGGGCUGUGAGGAUUCCUUUGCCACAGUACCCAACAAGCUCUGCUGCUUGUCUGCUGCUUCUGUUUUUGUUGUUGGAAACUGAAGAAAAGAAGAUGGUGGAGCCUGCUGUUGAUUAAACCACACAGAGGAUGAUGAUGCUGCUGCUGGAGAACCUAUUUGUUGUAUCUCGUGAGACGAAACUUUGGGUGCUUGUUGAUGAUGGAGAUAGUGGUAAUGAUGAUUGUUGAAAUAUCCCAGAGAGAGCAGGGACGACUCAUCUCUUCUUUCCCU
rnacentral:lncRNA from 1 species